rnacentral:rRNA from 1 species
AGGAGUAGCGACAAAGAGUGUGAGAGACACUCUCGCCGAAAGUCCAAGGGUUCCUGCUUAAAGCUAAUCUGAGCAGGGUAAGCCGGCCCCUAAGCCGAGGGCGAAAGCCGUAGGCGAUGGGAACUAGGUUAAUAUUCCUAGGCCAGGAGGAUGUGACGGAUCAUGAAGGUUGUUUGCCCUUAUCGGAUUGGGCAGGCCGCUGAUUGGUUCCUGGAAAUAGCCCUCCAUGAGACCGUACCCUAAACCGACACAGGUGG